AACCAUUGGACAGAAUGGAACCUGGAAAUCAAUAAGAUAAAUGUGUAUGUUAUGUACCUCAAAGACCAAUAAACAUUUAAAAUAAAACUAAGAAUCUAACCAAAGAUCGAAAAUGCAUAAAGAAUCUUGUCAGUAACAUAACAAACUAGUGAAAAACUCAAAAUCUUAUGAAAGAAACAAGAAUACAAGUAAUACUAAUACCUUGUUCCCAAGCUCCUGGGAU
rnacentral:misc_RNA from 1 species